UCACUUACCCAGCAGGGGAAAUACCGUGAUCAUGAAGAUGGUUUUCCCAGGGCAAGAUUUAUUCAUUACGCUCUGGAUGUGCCAAACCCUGUCAUUUUUCCCAAAUUCAGAAAAUUCGACUGCAUAAUUUGUGGUAGUGGGGGACUGCGCUCACACUCUGUCUUG